rnacentral:rRNA from 1 species
CGUGAUAGGUAUGGUUUCAAUUUUUAGGCGUUCAUUGGCUCAGGAAUCCUAAAAGGUACCCGUAUUGGAUCCUCUCAAGUUUGUUCCCGGCCCAUAAGACUGGAAUAACUCCCGCAAACCGGGGCUAAUACCGGAUGCUUGUUUGAACCGCAUGGUUCAAACAUAAAAGGUGGCUUCGGCUACCACUUACAGAUGGACCCGCGGCGCAGUAACUAGUUGGUGAGGUAAUGGCUCACCAGGCAACCAUGCGUAACCCACCUGAGAGGGUGAUCGGCCACACUGGGACUGAGACACGGCCCAUACUCCUACGGGAGGCAGCAGUAGGGAAUCUUCCGCAAUGGACGAAAGUCUGACGGAGCAACGCCGCGUGAGUGAUGAAGGUUUUCGGAUCCGAAGCUUUUUUGUUAGGGAAGAACAAAUACCGUUCGGAUAGGGCCUACCUUAGCGGUUCCUAACAAAAAGCCACGGAUAACUACGUACCGGGGAGGGGGGUGCUAAGGCUGGGCAAGUGAAUGGUCCGGGAAAUUAUUGGUCGCGCGAGACACAGAGCGCGGUCGCGAGCGAGCGUCGUCACGCGUAGAGUCUACUGGUGAGGCCACGAUGGUAUGUGGUGUGAUGUCGAGUCGUGUGACGACUAAUCAUCGAUGAUGCGUAGUCGUCAGAGUUCUGUCUCAUAAUGAAAUCGUCACGUGCCGCUCGCUCUCACUCUCCCCAUAUCUCUCUGGCGGCACACACGCACCACACGGCCUCUCUCGGCACUCACUCCUCUCACUGUUCGCUUCUCACACUCGUAUCGCCAAAACCACCCGAAAGCCUGCUGUCCCCGCCCGAGUAUCGUUCCCAACGACUUGAACCCUCAACCGAACUUGACCGGGGGCCCCGCCCAAGCCGGUGGAAGCCAUGUUUGUUCACAUUCGAACGCAAACGCGGAAGAACCUUACCCAGGUCUUGGACAUCCUCCGACAAUCCCCAGAGAUAGGACGUCCCCCUCCGGGGGCAGAGUGACAGGUGGUGCAUGGUUGUCGUCAGCUCGUGUCUGAGAUGCCGGGUUAAGUCCCGCAACGAGCGCAACCCUUGAUCUUAGUUGCCAGCAUUCAGUUGGGCACUCUAAGGUGACUGCCGGUGACAAACCGGAGGAAGGUGGGGAUGACGUCAAAUCAUCAUGCCCCUUAUGACCUGGGCUACACACGUGCUACAAUGGACAGAACAAAGGGCAGCGAAACCGCGAGGUUAAGCCAAUCCCACAAAUCUGUUCUCAGUUCGGAUCGCAGUCUGCAACUCGACUGCGUGAAGCAGGAAUCGCUCGUAAUCGCGGAUCAGCAUGUCGCGGCGAGUACGUUCAAGGGCAACAAGGCACCCCGUGUCGCAUCCCGAGAGUUGACCCCGCUCAGUAAGUAUGCCCAUUAAGGAGUAUCCAUCUCUAAUAGUACUUAG